ensembl:lncRNA
CUGGCAUCCCAGGACGCAGCAGGGCCUAGGCAGCAGUGUGUUACCUGAGGCCUAACAAAAAUCUUCCUGUCCCAUGUUCCUGACGAGUUGUGAGUCCCUAACUACUAUAGGGGACUAUCAGGUUGAUCCUUGCUUUUUACCCGGGCACCGGCUUUUUGAAGGAAGUGACUAACUGGAGUCUUGGUCACUCACUUGGCACUCUUGGAAUCCAGUUCUUGGGUGUGGUCAGUAGCUGGAGUGGUUUAGAGGGAUGUAUUAAUAUGCUAGGGUUCAGAAGAUAAUCUUACAUCCCCAAUUCCCUCACUCUCUAUCCAUAGAUUCUGCUGUAGAGGCAGAAUGGAAAAGAUUUGGAUUGGAGGCUGGAAAGCUGAGGAGGGGCUAUGGACAAAAGGGUAAAAGCAGGGUCCCUGUGCACAGCACCAAGAGAGCCAGACAGGAAUUUGCCCCCAAUCCCACCUCCCCACAACCACAGCUCAAACACUACAGGAGGAUGGAUGCCACAGCAGGGGAUGUCACAAUCUCCCUGGAGAGCUUGCCUCCCUGGAUUCUCCAUUCCAGACUUCCUCCGGUUCCCUACCCAGGACUGGCCCAAAAACGAGGUGGAAAUGAGGAAAUCUCUCUGAAGGACAAAACAAUAAAGAGAUGGGCAAUAGGAGAGGAAAUACAAGAGAAUUUGAGCACCAGUGAGGAGUUACAACAAUUGAAUAACAGUAAUUUCAAAAGUAAAGAACAGAGAGAACAGAUGGAAGGAAUUUAUCAAAGAAAUAAUAGAAAUGUAUUGAAAAUAAUAGAAAUAUCCCAGAAAAGAUAGGCAUGAGUUUCCAGAGUCAAAGAUUCCAAAGAGUGGUGAAAACAAACACUGAAAAUGUUUCCACCUCAAUCCCAUCUUUGGGAAGUAUCAGAUUGCUGGUGACAAAGAGAAGAUCCUAAAGGCUUCCAGAGAGUAAAAACAAUUUUCAUAGAAAACAUCAAAAAUCAUGAUGGCAUCAGACUUCUCAAGUAGAAGACAGAAGACCAUGCAGCUACAUCCUCUAAAUAUCUAAGCAAAAUGAUUUCAUUCUUUCUAUUAUAGCUGUUUUCAUUUCCAAUACCUCAUUUUUUUUUUCGUGAGGAAGAUUGACCCUGAGCUAUCAUCUGUUGACAAUCUUCCUCUUUUUGCUUGAGGAAGAUUGUUCCUAAGCUAACAUCUGUGCCAGUUUUUCUUUACUUUAUAUGUGGAACACUGCCACAUCGUGGCUUGAUGAGUGUAGGUCUGCACCCGGGAUCCAAACCUGCGAACCCUGGACCACUGAAGUGGAGCAUGCAAACUUAACCACUAGGCCACUGGGCUGGGCCCCCAAAAUCUCUUUUUUGAUCGGAUUGAUCCCCUUUUAUAACACCCCAUCCUUUUUUCAUGGGUGCAGUGUGAAAUCUUAUCCUAUCUAUAUAUCAUCUCAAAUUCCUCCAGAUUGCACCUGUUUGGGUCUCCAUCUUCCACAUUGGAAGCUUUCCUCAAAUGUUUGGGGAUGUUUGGUAGUUGUUGGGAUGAUUAGGUUAGGUUUUGGUUUAGAAGUUUAUGCUGCCUGAUCAUACUUAAGAGUAAAGCGCCACAAAACUAAUCAGAAGCUCUUUGCACUUGGCUUGGGCGUGUGGUUUGUGAACGCCACUGUCUGUGAGGUGAUCCCCCAGGAUCCAUUUGUCGGAUCCUUCUUAAGCUGGUCAGAGUCUCUAGAGAAAAAGGUUGUCCACUCUCCUGCCUGGAGCAUAUGAUGCUGGCUCCCAGCAUUCUAGCAGCUGUGAGAGAAGAAAAGCAUGAGAGUUUCAGCAUUCAGCAUGCAAACUUACACCUAAUUCCCCUGUUUUCAGCAGGGAACAGCCCUGUCCUCAGUUGUACAUGGUAUCCCCAAAUCCAGAAGCCUCUUUUACCUCCUCCAGAAAAUAAACCUGCAAUCUUCCGCUGGAGUUGUGGAGAAGUGAGGGUCUGUGUCUCAGACUUUAAACCAAUCUUCCUGUUUUAGCCCCAUCUGGUGAUACUACCAAUCUCUGAGCUUUGGGGGCUUUCUGCUGUGAAAACAGAUUGCUGUUUCUUGGCUUUUCACAGUCAGUUUAAGAUUCAGCAUUCUGGGUUUCCUAAGUCAGCCACCAUUCAUUCAUCUGCUUUCCAGGUUCUAAAAUUUUAUCGCUGCUUGCGAGAUACUGUCUUCUCUCCCACUCUCUUUUUAGAUUUAAACUGUUUUAAAAUUCCUGCACCCUUAUUUUGGUAGAGUUUGGGGAAAGGGUAGUAAUCAGUUGCACUUGUUUAAUCUUCCAUUUUGAACCAGAAGUCUUCGUGUUGAAUAACAACUGGACUAAAUCACAUGCAUCCAGACUGCCUGGGUUCAAACGCUGGCUUGAGCCUCCUGGCUCUAGCAUGUACUAGCUGCUUCGCUGUGGGGCAAAUGACACCAUCUGGACAACGGAAACAGCACAUGCUUGGGGCACUGUCCACCUCCCACUACCCUGAUCGCUUAAGCACAGUCUCCUCCCCCUUUUCCAUGAGCUUCUUUGAGUUUCCCUUCUUCUGGUUGGCUUGGCUUUCAUCUUCCUCCCUCUGCUUUCUUUGUCCUGCUGAGCAGGCAGCAAACCUGCAGGGUCUGUGAUCCUGCCGCUCAGCUUUAAAACAAAAACAAAAAAACCUCUGUUGCAAUUUGUGAACUUCCCCUCCUGGAAGGCAUAAGCUAUCAGCUUUUGUGAAAGUAGCUUGAAAUUGAGGAGGAAAAGAUUGAAGAGGGUAAGAAAGAGAGAGACAGAGGGAAGAAGAGAGGAAUGGAGAGAGGGAGG